UAGGGAAAUCUAGUUGUGUGUGUGGUGGAAAUGGAACAGAAGCUAAAAGAGUACACAUUGAUAUAUUUUUCAACAUAUAUUGCCAGUUUAGUUUAGAUCAGGUGUGAGUUGUAAGUAUAGAUCAUGUAGAUUGUGAUUUAGAUUAAUUUAUACUAAGAUGUCGUCUUCAUCGCGGUUAAGGUGUUCGAUUUAUGAUCAUGAAAACUCUUAAAAUCGGAAUGUCGAAUUCAAAUAUUACCGCGGUUAAGGUGAGUGCAUUAUAAGAAUAAAAAAUCUGUAUUCCUUAAUU
rnacentral:lncRNA from 1 species